rnacentral:rRNA from 1 species
ACGCUGGCGGCAGGCCUAACACAUGCAAGUCGAGCGGUAGAGAGAAGCUUGCUUCUCUUGAGAGCGGCGGACGGGUGAGUAAUGCCUAGGAAUCUGCCUGGUAGUGGGGGAUAACGUUCGGAAACGGACGCUAAUACCGCAUACGUCCUACGGGAGAAAGCAGGGGACCUUCGGGCCUUGCGCUAUCAGAUGAGCCUAGGUCGGAUUAGCUAGUUGGUGAGGUAAUGGCUCACCAAGGCGACGAUCCGUAACUGGUCUGAGAGGAUGAUCAGUCACACUGGAACUGAGACACGGUCCAGACUCCUACGGGAGGCAGCAGUGGGGAAUAUUGGACAAUGGGCGAAAGCCUGAUCCAGCCCAUGCCGCGUGUGUGAAGAAGGUCUUCGGAUUGUAAAGCACUUUAAGUUGGGAGGAAGGGCAGUUACCUAAUACGUGAUUGUUUUGACGUUACCGACAGAAUAAGCACCGGCUAACUCUGUGCCAGCAGCCGCGGUAAUACAGAGGGUGCAAGCGUUAAUCGGAAUUACUGGGCGUAAAGCGCGCGUAGGUGGUUAGUUAAGUUGGAUGUGAAAUCCCCGGGCUCAACCUGGGAACUGCAUUCAAAACUGACUGACUAGAGUAUGGUAGAGGGUGGUGGAAUUUCCUGUGUAGCGGUGAAAUGCGUAGAUAUAGGAAGGAACACCAGUGGCGAAGGCGACCACCUGGACUGAUACUGACACUGAGGUGCGAAAGCGAGGGGAGCAAAC